rnacentral:ncRNA from 1 species
AAAACGGAGAGUUUGAUCCUGGCUCAGGAUGAACGCUGGCGGUAUGCUUAACACAUGCAAGUCGAACGGACUCUUCGGAGUUAGUGGCGGACGGGUGAGUAACGCGUGAGAAUCUGGCUUCAGGUUCGGGACAACAGUUGGAAACGGCUGCUAAUACCGGAUGUGCCUGUGGGUGAAAGAUUUAUCACCUGAAGAUGAGCUCGCGUCUGAUU